rnacentral:rRNA from 1 species
CCUACGGGAGGCAGCAGUGGGGAAUAUUGCACAAUGGGGGAAACCCUGAUGCAGCGACGCCGCGUGAGUGAAGAAGUAAUUCGUUAUGUAAAGCUCUAUCAGCAGGGAAGAAAAUGACGGUACCUGAGUAAGAAGCCCCGGCUAACUACGUGCCAGCAGCCGCGGUAAUACGUAGGGGGCAAGCGGUAUCCGGAUUUACUGGGUGGAAAGGGAGCGUAGACGGCAGUGCAAGUCUGGAGUGAAAGGCGGGGGCUCAACCCCCGGACUGCUCUGGAAACUGUACGGCUGGAGUGCAGGAGAGGUAAGUGGAAGUCCUAGUGUAGCGGUGAAAUGCGUAGAUAUUAGGAGGAACACCAGUGGCGAAGGCGGCUUACUGGACUGUAACUGACGUUGAGGCUCGAAAGCGUGGGGAGCAAACAGGAUUAGAUACCCUAGUAGUC